rnacentral:rRNA from 1 species
UGCAGUCGAACGGUAACAUUUCUAGCUUGCUAGAAGAUGACGAGUGGCGGACGGGUGAGUAAUGCUUGGGAACUUGCCUUUGCGAGGGGGAUAACAGUUGGAAACGACUGCUAAUACCGCAUAAUGUCUUCGGACCAAACGGGGCUUUUAGCUCCGGCGCAAAGAGAGGCCCAAGUGAGAUUAGCUAGUUGGUAAGGUAACGGCUUACCAAGGCGACGAUCUCUAGCUGUUCUGAGAGGAAGAUCAGCCACACUGGGACUGAGACACGGCCCAGACUCCUACGGGAGGCAGCAGUGGGGAAUAUUGCACAAUGGGGGAAACCCUGAUGCAGCCAUGCCGCGUGUGUGAAGAAGGCCUUCGGGUUGUAAAGCACUUUCAGUUGUGAGGAAAAGUUAGUAGUUAAUACCUGCUAGCCGUGACGUUAACAACAGAAGAAGCACCGGCUAACUCCGUGCCAGCAGCCGCGGUAAUGCGGAGGGUGCGAGCGUUAAUCGGAAUUACUGGGCGUAAAGCGCACGCAGGCGGUUUGUUAAGCUAGAUGUGAAAGCCCCGGGCUCAACCUGGGAUGGUCAUUUAGAACUGGCAGACUAGAGUCUUGGAGAGGGGAGUGGAAUUCCAGGUGUAGCGGUGAAAUGCGUAGAUAUCUGGAGGAACAUCAGUGGCGAAGGCGACUCCCUGGCCAAAGACUGACGCUCAUGUGCGAAAGUGUGGGUAGCGAACAGGAUUAAAUACCCUGGUAGUCCACACCGUAAACGCUGUCUACUAGCUGUGUGUGCCUUUAAGGCGUGCGUA